rnacentral:rRNA from 1 species
AGUGAACGCUGGCGGUAGGCCUAACACAUGCAAGUCGAACGGCUGCACAGGAGAGCUUGCUCUCUGGGUGGCGAGUGGCGGACGGGUGAGGAAUACAUCGGAAUCUACUCUGUCGUGGGGGAUAACGUAGGGAAACUUACGCUAAUACCGCAUACGACCUACGGGUGAAAGCAGGGGACCUUCGGGCCUUGAGCGAUUGAAUGAGCCGAUGUCGGAUUAGCUAGUUGGCGGGGUAAAGGCCCACCAAGGCGACGAUCCGUAGCUGGUCUGAGAGGAUGAUCAGCCACACUGGAACUGAGACACGGUCCAGACUCCUACGGGAGGCAGCAGUGGGGAAUAUUGGACAAUGGGCGCAAGCCUGAUCCAGCCAUACCGCGUGGGUGAAGAAGGCCUUCGGGUUGUAAAGCCCUUUUGUUGGGAAAGAAAUCCAGCUGGCUAAUACCCGGUUGGGAUGACGGUACCCAAAGAAUAAGCACCGGCUAACUUCGUGCCAGCAGCCGCCGUAA